CCGCAGAGGUGCAGGGGGCCGCGGGAAGACGUGGGGGGGGUGCUUGGUCCGGGUUUAUUGGGCGGAAAGGGCUCGGAGGUGGCUCGGUAAGUCGGGUGUGAAAUUUCGAGGCUCAACCGCGAAACGCCACCUGAUACUGCUGUGGCUUGAGUCCGGUAGGGGAGCGUGGAAUUCCUGGUGUAGCGGUGAAAUGCGCAGAUAUCAGGAGGAACACCAGCGGCGAAGGCGGCGCUCUGGGCCGGUACUGACACUGAGGAGCGAAAGCGUGGGGAUCAAACAGGAUUAGAUACCCGUGUAGUC
rnacentral:rRNA from 1 species